rnacentral:tRNA from 1 species
UUAAUUGAAACCAAAUAAGAGGUAUAUCACUGUUAAUGAUAAAAUUAAGAUUAUUCUUCAAUUAAA